UUUCGCCUACUAUAUAAGAAGCGGUUCGCAGAAGUUACUUUUGCCGUGGGCGAAAUAGCGUCGGGCCGGCGGGCAAGAGUGACUAUUAAUUACUUCGUUCUUUCUGCCCACAUCACUACUACGUACCUGCCAUCGACCCAUCGUACAACGAAGUUGAGAUCCAGAUAUCUUGGCAAAUUCCGAAACAACCUUCUUCUUAUUAGGAUUUGUCUUCCGGAUCUCAAAUCCUAGACGAUCACAUUUGAGCCAUGGAUGGCUAUGGAAAGCUUAUUCAUUAACAACGUAGCUGACCUUCCUCUUCUUCUCGUUUACCGUUCGCGUUAGGUCACUAUCUCUGCAAGUCUCCUUGUUUACAUAGUUACUUCCUUCAUUCAGACCCAUAUGAGACCCACGCAUGAAGAAGCGCAAGGAUGCUGCUAAACAUUUUAUAUCAUCCUCUUAAUUAAUAUACGAACACAGCGCAGGAAUAGUGUGCAUCGGUUCCUGGUGGCUCCAGGAUCUGGUCCGGCUCCUUAUCAUUUAUUUAAUUGCUGCUUGCUGACCGC
rnacentral:sRNA from 1 species